rnacentral:rRNA from 1 species
GUGGGGAAUAUUGCACAAUGGGGGAAACCCUGAUGCAGCGACGCCGCGUGGAGGAAGAAGGUCUUCGGAUUGUAAACUGUUGUCGCAAGGGAAGAAGACAGUGACGGUACCUUGUGAGAAAGUCACGGCUAACUACGUGCCAGCAGCCGCGGUAAUACGUAGGUGACAAGCGUUGUCCGGAUUUACUGGGUGUAAAGGGCGCGUAGGCGGACUGUCAAGUCAGUCGUGAAAUACCGGGGCUUAACCCCGGGGCUGCGAUUGAAACUGACAGCCUUGAGUAUCGGAGAGGAAAGCGGAAUUCCUAGUGUAGCGGUGAAAUGCGUAGAUAUUAGGAGGAACACCAGUGGCGAAGGCAGCUUUCUGGACGACAACUGACGCUGAGGCGCGAAAGUGUGGGGAGCAAACAGGAUUAGAUACCCCAGUAGUCC